AGAGUUUGAUCCUGGCUCAGGAUGAACGCUAGCGGCAGGCCUAAUACAUGCAAGUCGAGGGAGAUUGUUGGAUUCGUCUGACAUGAAACCGGCGCACGGGUGCGUAACACGUAUGCAACCUACCUUUAACUGGGGUAUAGCUCAGAGAAAUCUGAAUUAAUCCCCCAUAAGACUACGACAUGGCAUCAUGAUGUAGUUAAAGCUCCGGCGGUUAAGGAUGGGCAUGCGGUACAUUAGCUAGUUGGUGAGGUAAUGGCUCACCAAGGCUACGAUGUAUAGGGGGUCUGAGAGGAUGAUCCCCCACACUGGUACUGAGACACGGACCAGACUCCUACGGGAGGCAGCAGUAGGGAAUAUUGGUCAAUGGACGCAAGUCUGAACCAGCCAUGCCGCGUGAAGGAUGAAGGCCCUCUGGGUCGUAAACUUCUUUUAUUAGGGAAGAAAACAUGGGAUGCGUCCCAAACUGACGGUACUUAAUGAAUAAGGAUCGGCUAACUUCGUGCCAGCAGCCGCGGUAAGACGAAGGAUCCAAGCGUUGUCCGGAUUUACUGGGUUUAAAGGGUGCGUAGGCGGAAAAUUAAGUCAGUGGUGAAAGCCCGCAGCUCAACUGUGGAACUGCCAUUGAAACUGAUUUUCUUGAAUAUAGCUGAGGCAGAUGGAAUAUAACAUGUAGCGGUGAAAUGCUUAGAUAUGUUAUAGAACACCGAUUGCGAAGGCAGUCUGCUAACUAUUAUUGACGCUGAGGCACGAAAGCGUG
rnacentral:rRNA from 1 species